CUGAUCAGUCCAUAUCCCUGCCAAUGAUUGGUUGAUGUGUAGGCAUGUGAUGUCCAUCUGGCCAAUGAGACCAGAGUGGAUUCUGUUCCUCGCCUCUUAUAACCCCGAUGAUGCAGAGGAGAGUCUGAACUCGGGCCCGUCCGCCAACGAGCAGAGGUGCCGAGACAGGGACCAGGGAGUGUGUCUGGAGAUGGAGAUUCGAGAGGAGGUGGAGCGGAGGCUAGAACUCCAAGAGUCACCCACGCCCUCGAGCGAGGACCCCAAAGGGCACAGCAAGAACACAGCAGGCGUCAGACCCUGGAGGGACUUGAAGGCCAAGGACCAGAAUGUUGACAUUCUUCUUUGUUUUUUUUAAACCAAUCUUGAUUAUUCUUGACCCUGAGUACACAUCUUUUCCAUCUUCUACGUGAGGAACGGCAAGCACGGGGUGAAGGUUUCUGCCGCACAGAGAAGCACCAAGGCUAUCGCCAGGAAAGCUCUCGUGCGGUGGUUCUGAGUUCCUCCUGCCUCCCCACGCGUUAGAAGAGAGUGGCACCCCGGGUCUGACCUUGCCAAAAUUGUCCGCUCCUCUAGGAAGGAAGAAAUCUCUACACUGAUCAGCAAAAUGUUUCUGUAAUUCUGGAAACCCAGUGACCAGGUCACUAGCUUUCAGGCUGUCUUGUCUCACAGCUGCUGAGGCUGAUAAGUGACGUUCCAUCUUUUUAGGCUACAUUAAUUUAAAUAAAG
rnacentral:lncRNA from 1 species